rnacentral:rRNA from 1 species
UACGUAGGGGGCGAGCGUUGUCCGGAAUGACUGGGCGUAAAGGGCGCGUAGGCGGCUUGACAAGUCCGGAGUGAAAGUCCCGCUUUCAAGGUGGGAAUGGCUUUGGAAACUGUGAGGCUUGAGUGUGGGAGAGGAUAGCGGAAUUCCCGGUGUAGCGGUGAAAUGCGUAGAGAUCGGGAGGAACACCAGUGGCGAAGGCGGCUAUCUGGACCAAGACUGACGCUGAGGCGCGAAAGCGUGGGUAGCAAACAGGAUUAGAUACCCUGGUAGUCCACGCUGUAAACGAUGGAUGCUAGGUGUAGGAGGUAUCGACCCCUUCUGUGCCGGAGUAAACACAAUAAGCAUCCCGCCUGGGGAGUACGGCCGCAAGGUUGAA